CCCUUAGAUGUUCUGGGCUGCACGCGCGCUACACUGACCAGUGCAACAAGCAUCCGUCCUUGGCCGACAGGCCCGGGCAAUCUUUGAACGCUGGUCGUGAUGGGGAUAGACUUUUGCAAUUUUUGGUCUUCAACGAGGAAUUCCUAGUAAACGCAAGUCAUCAACUUGCAUUGAUUACGUCCCUGCCCUUUGUACACACCGCCCGUCGCACCUACCGAUUGAAUGGUCCGGUGAAGCCUCCGGAUUGGCGCGCACCUCGGUGCCGCCGAGAAGUUGGCUAAACCUUACCAUUUAGAGGAAGGUGAANUCGUAACA
rnacentral:rRNA from 1 species